GACGAACGCUGGCGGCGUGCUUAACACAUGCAAGUCGAACGGAAAGGCCCUGCUUUUGUGGGGUGCUCGAGUGGCGAACGGGUGAGUAACACGUGAGUAACCUGCACUUGACUUUGGGAUAACUUCAGGAAACUGGGGCUAAUACCGGAUAGGAGCUCCUGAUGCAUGGUGGGGGUUGGAAAGUUUCGGCGGGUGGGGAUGGACUCGCGGCUUAUCAGCUUGUUGGUGGGGUAGUGGCUUACCAAGGCUGUGACGGGUAGCCGGCCUGAGAGGGUGGCCGGCCACAAUGGGACUGAGAGACGGCCCAGCCUCCUACGGGAGGCAGCAGUGGGGAAUAUUGCACAAUGAGCGGGAGCCUGACGCAGCCAGGCCGGGUGCGGGAUGACGGCCUUCGGGUGGUAAACCGCUUUCGCCUGUGACGAAGCGUGAGUGACGGUAAUGGGUAAAGAAGCACCGGCUAACUACGUG
rnacentral:rRNA from 1 species